GUGUUUGCUUUGACAUCACAUAUACUAAAAUUGAAACAAUUCAGAGAAGAUAAGCAUGGUCCCAGUGCAAGGAUAAUAUGAAAAUUUGUGAAGUGUUCCAUAGUUUU